UACGGAGGGUGCAAGCGUUAUCCGGAUUCACUGGGUUUAAAGGGUGCGUAGGUGGGUCUGUAAGUACCUUGUGAAAUCCCACGGCUUAACCGUGGAACUGCUUGGUAUACUGCUUAUCUUGGGCCAUCUAGGGGCUACCGGAACAAGUGGUGGAGCGGUGAAAUGCGUAGAUAUCACUUGGAACGCCAAUGGUGAAAACAGGUAGCUGGGGAUGUGCCGACGCUGAGACACGAAAGCCAGGGGAGCGAACGGG
rnacentral:rRNA from 1 species